UAUUAAGGGGAAGAUACUUCAGGAGGAGGAAUAAAUCAGUAGAGUAGUGAAAAAGGAAGCAAAAAAAAGUACAGAAGAGAGAGAGAGAGAGAAAGAGUGGGAGAGAAUUUAGAAAAAUACUAGCUGAAAGGGUGAUUAUGGAAUUUAUUUUUAUUUUUGGCUGAUUGGGGAAGUUACAUAAUUAUUCUAGAUAGAGAGCCGGCUCUAUUCUCUUUCUCUAAUUAGGUUAUUUACCAUGUUGACCAAGGGGAGCGUACCUUUGGCCAUGAUCUCCAGCCUGGAGAUGUUGGAGGCAUGAGAGGAGAGGGAGAGGCCAAAGAAGACGAGCUUGAGGAGGAACAAUCUUGAAGAUAGGAACCCGUGCUAGUAGCAAGGUUUUAUAGGUCAUAGGCAUAGAAGAAUUGAUUGAUCCCUUGUAGAUCAAGCUUGAGUAAGAUAUGUUAGAUUUAAUCUAAUAUAGAUAAAUUCUAUAUGAUUUGUACAUCACUAAGACUAUCAUUUAAUUAAUCUCAUUUAAAGUGAUUUACCUAAGUCUAAAUCUUGAGAUUAUGACAUCUUAUGUAAGUAUGGACAAAUAUACAUUUAUGUGUAGAGACUAGGUCUUAUUCUAAUUUAUGAUAGGCAAAAUUGGAAAAGGAUACCAAGGGGCUAACCAUCUCUUGUCUAUAAAUAGUCAUGGUCCUACGGUUACACAACAAUGUGAGUUACUCCCUAGAACAUCUCAUCUCUCUUAGAGUGCAUGCAACUCAUUUGUGUAGCUUCAACAAGCCACCCCUCCUUCAUUCUCAUUCAACGAUGUAUUCUGGUAUGACCUCUUUUAUCUCAUUAUUUCAUACAUUUUGUUGAUCGAUAUAGAGCCUAAAUUAAUAGAUCUAACAAUGGCAUCAGAGCCAUCUAUAUUGACUUUCAGAAUGUAUGAUUCAGAUGUAUCAUUUUCGUGCAUUAUCUUGCAUCAUUAUGAUAUAUAUGUGCAUGGUUAAUACUUUUGAUGCAUUUAUAUAUCAUCCUUGUGUUUGUGAUGAUUUUCUAGCAUAAAAAAUGAUUCUUUUCGAUCACAAAAUCAUGCAUUUUAUCUGUUCAUCAUUGACACCUAUCUCUUUGAACAUGACAAGGAGUUGAGGUGGUUUCUGCAUGCCUUUCCUUCUCUAAAUUCUUGGAGAAUAUUAUGCAUUAACCAUUGGAAUCCAUACCUUCCCAUUCUCCUCUUGUCGUAUGAUGAGUUGAUUGCGUCUAGUAGAAGGCGGCUCUAUAUGCUUGGAAAAUGUGGGGUUCUGUAAGAUGACAAAAGGGUGCCAGAAGAUAAACCACGACAAGGAUAACUUUGCCAGAAGGCAGCGCCAAAGGAUAGUAAACCAAGGCAACUUCUUCACGCCCCUUCUCUAUUUUGCCUCUUCUCCAUUUUGGACUUUCUUUUGCUAGAGGAUGGUUGUCGGUCAUUCCAAAAAUUGAUGAAGGAAUGAGGAGCAAACGGGUGGGAUGUCUGCCACUUUCUCUAUUUUUUUGGGCUGACCGUUUAAGUCCUAAGGCAUUGAAAUGGCCUAAAUCUCACGAGAGAUAGACCGAUAUGUUAGUUUGCCGCACAAAUUGGUCAACCCCCUUAAAAGAGGAAAGGGUAACUAUCCUCUAUCAAUUUGAGUGCUAAAUUAUUAUCCCAAUGGUUCAUGUAGUCCAUUAGGUGGUUCAACGCACUAGUGCAAUGCACACCGAAUCGGCUUACACUGGCUCAAUUCACGCCUGACAGAGGAAUGGUGCACAUCCGUCAGGCGAUUCAGCACAACAGCUUGGCACAGAAAAACUAGGUAGCCCAGCGCACCAACUCAACACACCAAGUUUGGCUCACACCAACCUACUACAUGUCAGGUGGGAGGAAUAGUGUUGCACCAGCCUUUCUAAAAGACAGCAUGAUAGAGAUCAAGAUUCGCUAUCUCACAAUUCUCCAAACUUGAUGCAAGGAGUGGAUCAAGAGGCAACAUCAAGGCCUUCACUAAGACACUUCCCAAGGAUGAGAGUCCUCCCUUCACACCAAGUCAACAUCAUGAUCUUGAGGAAGAAAAUUCAAACCUUGAAGAUCACUGAGGUCAAAGAUAAGAAAGGAAGCAAUGAGGAGGUGGCUAGGGCACCCUAGCCUUGUCCCCACAUCCACCAUUGACUAAGUCAACACCCAUUAGAGGUUUGGUCAAACCCCUUUACCUUCCUUGAAUCGUUCUAACCCCUUCUUAUCAAAGCUUAGCCUUAUCUUGAAUUAAUAUUUGACCCUAAGAAGCCUCAACAGCCUUUAGUCAACUCAUUUUUUUAAAUAUAGGAGCUUCUCAUCCCAUAUAAUGGCCAUAGUCAAUUCUAUUGACUUUUAUUUUAAAAUUUUUUAUUUUUUCCCAUAGGCCUACCUCCUCAUGGGCUAAAUGGACUCCAGAUCUCAUGGUUAAAGGCACCCUUUCAAAUGAGAGAAAGUGGUUGUAACUGUCCACUUCUUGUGGGCAAUCUUCUCUCUCUUCCUCUCAUAUGAAGGGAAAUGUCCCUUGAAUUAAGAUAAUUAAUCCACCCCAUUCCCUCCUAUAAAUAAGGAGACAUUUUUUGUAAUAAGAAAAGGAAUGAAUGAAUGAAAAGCUCAUACUUUCUUUUCACUUGAAUCCUAUCUCUCUCUCGAGUCCCUUUUCCCCUCUCUCGAGCCCUUCACUCGACUUCUUUCUUUCUCUCUUGAAGGUCUCUUACCUCUCGAGCUUCUCCCCCUUUUCCAUUGAAUUUCUCUCAUUCUCUCCCUAAAGUUUCUUCCUUGAACCAUCCUAGUUGAUCANNNNNNNNNNNNNNNNNNNNCUUCGAGUCAAUCCAUCUCUUUAUCCACUAAUGCCUCUUCUUCAACCUAUGGGCAAUCAUUUGUAAAGGAGAUCAAAGCCAUUCUCAAGCAAUCCAGAGGACUCUCAAACAAUCAAAAAUUCUCCAUACGAUAUUUAAUUUUCCAUUCCUCUUGAGUGUUUAAUUUGAUCAUCACUUAAAGUUUAUUGCUCUCGAUUCUUGUGUGAAACCUAUAAGAUAGUCACCUUUGCAUAUUUGGUGAUCCAAAGCCCUCAUUCCUAAGUUUGAUUUAUCCUAUUGAAUUAGGGUUCUCAAUCAAGACAAUCAUAAAUCUAGAUUCUAUUUAAAUCAUAUUAUAGGUUGAGUGAUUUAACUAUCUAAGUGAAUUUACUAAAAGUCAACCUUUAAUCCUUCUUCUUUAAGCCUCUUUGUGGAAAUCAUAAAUCUCUAUGUUUGUCCCACAUCACGGCACCUCAACAUAUAUCAACUUAGUCGGUUAAUGACAUCAACAUAAGGCGACAGUUGACGUCAGUGCCCAUAAUUUUUUAAUGUCAUUUUAUUCCUGAAAUAUCUAAUUAAUUUAAUUUCAAAAAUUAUGCAUAUAGUUAUUUGAUUAAUCAUUACCUUUUAGUACAAUGAAUCUUGCUAAAAAUUAAAUAACUAUCAUGUCUCAAAUUUUGGUACAUGUAUAAUAUUUUAGAAUUAUUAAUUGAAGCAACAUCUUGCCGAAGUGGGCUCUCUUGUGAAUAUUAAUUUUACUAACUUCUUAGAUGUUGUGUAUGUUAAUUUUGUGAAUACUAGCUGGCCCAAAGAAAAGCUUAGUAUUUUACAGAUUACAUACACUAAUGAUAAUAAAUAUGUGACAAUUAUUUGAUAUUUUUCAUGUGAAUUAUAAGUUGGCCCAAAGGAAAGCAUAUUAUUUGACAAAAAUUUAUUGUCAAUGUUUAUUUAUCACAUCAAGAUAUUACUUGUAGUCAUUGUUCAUGUCCAAAGACAAAUCAUUGAUGUUGCAUAUAUAUCUUGUAAUAAGAAGUACCAUUAUUUGAAUUUUAGUUAAAUUAUGUGAGCUUAUUGUUGCCCUUUAUACAACUCUGAAUUUUGCUUGUAUUUCCACUAAUAUCAAAUCUAUUAUCAUGCUUAAUGGGUCAAACUUCAGUGAGUGAAAAGAUAGUGUUAAGAUUGCUCUCGACAUGGCAGAUUUAGACAUUGCAUUACGAAAGAUCGACCCAUUGAAUUAGAUUAAUCAAAAGAUUCUAAGAAAUGAGAACAAUCAAAUCGCAUGUCUAGAUAUUGAUAAAAUAAUUUCUCAAUGGAGACAUUGAUAAAACAAUCUAAUAUGUUACAACCAAAAUACUUUAUUUCUAGAGAUCUAAAGACAAUGGUUUGUAAAUUAAAGAAAUCUAUAUAUAGGCUCAAGCAAGUUUCUCGUCAAUGGUAUCACAAAUUUCAUCAUAUCAUACUCUCAUUUGAUUUUAAGAUGAAUAUGGUUGAUGAAUGCAUAUAUCAAAAGUUCAAUGGAAGCAAACAUAUCUUCUUGAUUUUAUAAGCCAAUGACAUAUUAUUUGUCAACAAUAAUAUGGACUUAUUAUGUGACACUAAAAAGGUUUCUAUCAAGGAACUUUGAGAUGAAAGAUCUUGGUGAAGCCUCUUAUGUAUUAGGCAUACAUAUACAUCGAGAUCAACACCAAAAUAUCAUUUGAUCGUCAUAAAAGAGCUACAUCAAGAAAAUUCUCAAAAGGUUUGACAUAGAAGGAUGUAAACCACUACAUACCCCUAUGAUUAAAGGAGACAAAGUUAGUCUUAAUUAGUGUCCUUAAAAUGACUUUGAAGUAAAGAAGAUGUAAAAUAUUCCUUAUGCCUCAGUUGUAGGAAGUCUUAUGUAUGCUCAGGUAUGUAUGCAUUUAGAUAUUACAUUCACAAUUAGAGGAUUGGAGAGGUACUUAAGCAAUCCAUGUGUGGAUCACUAAAAAAUAGUCAAGAGAAUAAUGUAAUAUUUAAAAAAGACAAUUUACAUGUUCACAUGUAAUAAAUUAAAUCAAUUAAAGAUCAUUAGGUAUUCUACUUCUGACUUUGUCGGAUGUACUAAUAAUAGAAGAUCCAUUACAUGAUAUAUAUAUUUGUUAGCCAUAUGAGCUAUAUCAUUAAAGAGUGUUAAGAAAAUACUCAUAGCUUCGUCCACUAUGAUUACAAAAUUUAUAGCAUGCUAUGAGGCAUCCAAUCAUUACUUUGGUUGAAGAAUUUUGUCAUACGACUACAGAUUCUAGAUGAUAUUAAAAGACCAUUGAAGUUAUACUAUGACAAUAAGUUAACCGUCAUAUUUUUCAAUAGCAAUAAGAACUUGACAAAGUCUAAACAUAUAGACAUCAAGUUCCUAAUUAUUAAGGAAAGAGUUCAGAGUGGUCAUGUGUCUAUAAAGCAUAUUAAAACAAGCUUUAUAGUAGUAGAUCCUCUCAAUAAAAGACUACCACCUAAGGUCUUCCACGAGCAUAUUGUUCAUAUGUGAGUAAUACCUCAUGAGGAUAUGUAAUUUCAAUGGGAGUUUGUAUCUUGAUGUUCAUUUAUUUAUAGACACAUCUUCUAGUUAUUUCAUACAUAAAUAAAGUUUAUGUUUUAUUCACUAUGAAUAAGGCUAUUUGAUCUCCAUUCGGUAUAAGGAGGAUUGAGUUGAAAAUGUACAUGUAUGAAUCACAUUUCAUGUAAUUUCUAUGCUACACAUCAAUACUUGAUCUAUGUCAUUCAUUAUAUUGAUAUCUGUGAUUAUUGUUGGGUUCAAUUGAAUAAAAAUGUGAUGAAAACCCCUUUAGUUUUAUAUCAGUAUAAUGAUGGAUGGGAUUGUUGGAGAUGCCUUUAAUAAUGAUAGUAAUGUAUAGAGCUCAUAAAUUUAUGAUGUACAAUAUCAAGUUAUCAUAUAUGAACAAUUGUCUAAGUAAGAGAUUUUUAGAUUUAAUCUGAUAUGGACAAAUGCUAUAUGAUUUGUACAUCAUUAAAGCUAUCAUUUAAUUAAUCUCUUUUAAGGUGAUUUACCUAAGUCUAAAUCUUGAGAUUAUGACAUCUUAUGUAAGUAUGAGCAUAUAUACAAUUAUGUGUAGAGAUCGAGUCUUAUUCUAAUUUUAUGAUGGGUAAAAUUAAAAAAGUACACUAAGGGGCUAACCACCUAUUGCUUAUAAAUAGGGGUCAUAGUCUAGUCACACAACGACGUGAGUUACUCUCUAGAGUAUCUUAUCUCUCUUCGAGUGCGUGCAACUCAUUUGUGUAGAUCCAAAAAGGCAUCCCUCCCUCAUUCCCAUUCAACAAUAGAUUUUGAUAUCACCUCUUUUAUCUCAUUAUUUCAUACAUUUCAUUGGUCAAUAUAGAUUCUAGAUUAACAUAUCUAAUAGGAUAUUCAUAUUGAAGCAUAAGAACUCCCUCUAUCGCCGCUGCUCGAUGGGCCAAAGCUCCUUCCACACCGCCACAAAGAGGUCAUCUCCAGCGAACACCCCACCGCCAUUGCCGCUGAUGUAGCUAACAAUGGAGCCCGCCACCACUAGCACUGCCACCAGAGUCCUUGCCACCAUGUACCCAAUGGAGGGAUGGACCAUGUUGGCGGUGCCAUUGAUGCCCAGAACUCUCUGUGGGAGCACAAGGAGCAGCCCUCCCAUGAGGAUGACACACCUUUUGUCUUCCUCCAUGCUCUUCACCCUGAUGCCCAGAUGUCAUAGCCUAGCCACCAUCCUCUUCUAGAUGUCCUCCAUUUGCAGACUAGGGUAGGCCACCAAGGAGGUCUCUUUUGUUGGCUUUCAAAAGCCAGAAAACCUCACCAAGAUCUUCCGAAAAUAGAAGCAAUAUCAAAAAAACCAGUGGUGGCGGACAGGACUCCUCGCAACCACAACACGAGGUCGAGGCGACAAAGGAGACCCCACCCCCAUGCUGUCAACCAGAUUGUAGAUCUCGAGCAAGGACAAGGAACCCCGGGUUCCGCUACACCGCUUGAGGGGGUUCCCCAACCCUUGGGCCUACAUUAGGUCCAUGGCAAGAAGGGACGGCCCACUCCAUUUUGGGCCCUCACCCCCUUCUCUUUUGGGGCCACCCUUGUUAGGCCCAAUAGACAUUUUUGGACCUUCCUUGUGGUCUUUUACCCUUGGCCCGUGUGGGCCCCCUAUAUAAAAGGGUGGAGAGCCACCGCUAAAGAGCAGCAUAUUUUGAAUAGAAAGGNNNNNNNNNNNNNNNNNNNNNNNNNNNNNNNNNNNNNNNNNNNNNNNNNNNNNNNNNNNNNNNNNNNNNNNNNNNNNNNNNNNNNNNNNNNNNNNNNNNNNNNNNNNNNNNNNNNNNNNNNNNNNNNNNNNNNNNNNNNNNNNNNNNNNNNNNNNNNNNNNNNNNNNNNNNNNNNNNNNNNNNNNNNNNNNNNNNNNNNNNNNNNNNNNNNNNNNNNNNNNNNNNNNNNNNNNNNNNNNNNNNNNNNNNNNNNNNNNNNNNNNNNNNNNNNNNNNNNNNNNNNNNNNNNNNNNNNNNNNNNNNNNNNNNNNNNNNNNNNNNNNNNNNNNNNNNNNNNNNNNNNNNNNNNNNNNNNNNNNNNNNNNNNNNNNNNNNNNNNNNNNNNNNNNNNNNNNNNNNNNNNNNNNNNNNNNNNNNNNNNNNNNNNNNNNNNNNNNNNNNNNNNNNNNNNNNNNNNNNNNNNNNNNNNNNNNNNNNNNNNNNNNNNNNNNNNNNNNNNNNNNNNNNNNNNNNNNNNNNNNNNNNNNNNNNNNNNNNNNNNNNNNNNNNNNNNNNNNNNNNNNNNNNNNNNNNNNNNNNNNNNNNNNNNNNNNNNNNNNNNNNNNNNNNNNNNNNNNNNNNNNNNNNNNNNNNNNNNNNNNNNNNNNNNNNNNNNNNNNNNNNNNNNNNNNNNNNNNNNNNNNNNNNNNNNNNNNNNNNGAGCCACGGUCGUUGUGCUCAUGAGUCUACAUAGCCCAUCCUUGUGCCACUGUGACCUACAGCGAGUUCGUCGCUGGUUCUGACCAAGAACACGACAAGGAGCCUCAAACAUCUGCUUGUGUCUCCACCCCAGCUCGUCCGCAAUGCAUCUGGUGCUGCUGCCAGCCUCUCUCCCAAACGCCAUCAUGCGUGCCGGUGCCCACGCUGACGCUACGUGCCAGUCCUCCACGAACAAGGAGUCACUGACCUCCUGCUGCGACGACCCUCAUCCAUUGAGCUCGUACCGCUCUCGCUACCGUCGACCUUGCAUUGAUGCGAGGAGUCUCCCACACUACACCGGCAAACGAAAUCACCUGCAUGUUAGCCCACUUCCCCCUGCCAAUCUACCUUAUUUCGUAUAGUGCCUUCCCCACUCCUACUCCUCUGCCGAUGGGCCUAGCUAGGUGAGACGGUUGGGUCUCAUCUUGGGUGUGUGCUUUGAAGCGCACGCGCAAGAUCUGUUGCAUUGGUUGGUGAGCUCAAACGGCAGUGGUUGUGUCGACAGCAUCGGGUUUUUCUCUCAACGGAUGUGGAUGGGAAGGACUCCCUGUGCCCCGCCCGUGUCAACACCGACGAGCGUUCACCGACAUCGUUGCCCUCAGUUCCUACUUCCCUUCUUUCUCCACCCUAGUGAUACACCCUUACUCGCCAUAGAGGAAGGUUCACCGAUGGUCCUGCAUCAACCGAACUGAAUCAAAAAUGCACAUAAUGAAUUAAUAGCAAAGGUGCAAGAGUCGAUUCGUCGAACACAUAGCCCUCUAUUUUUAUAGAGCACCAAUCAUGUAAAGAAAGAGAAUGAGUCUAACGACUGCUGGAUGAGUUGGCUCCGCAGCCCACAUGGCUUCUCAUCUAUCGUUAUAACUUUAGGCAAUGUGUGGCUCUGAUUAAAUCUGAAAACAUAAGAUCAACAAACUUGUAAAUGAAAAUUGAACUCAAAUGUCUUCCGCCAGAUAGCUCGCCAAAGACAUUGAGCCAUAGCAAGCCACAGACAAAGCUGGAGCUAAGUCUUCAUCCUCAAGGAAGAUCAUGUCUGAGGAGAAGGGCAUGGCAUAGAGGAAGGUGGGCACCUUCCCGUUCCUAUCCCUCAGCUCCUUCUUCUCGACAAGAUGAGAAUCCCUCUAGUCCAUGAACAGCAUCUUGUCGAAUUCGAAUGGGUAGCUGGGAUUGUAGGACUUAUCAUAUUGAACUUGGCUGUGGGAGAAGCUGGUGGCAUCAAGAACCGAAUGCAACGCCACAGUGGUGCCGUCGCUGCAAAAGGAGGGAGGAGAACUCACUAUGGGUCACCUUCAUGACCUUGGCCUGAUGGAAGGUGUCGCCAUGGGAGACGCAUCUCUACAUCAUCUUUAUCUUGAGCUGCUUCUGGUUGACACAACUGUACGAGCUGUGGAGGAGCUUCUUGGUGGCAUUGUCAACGUGGACAAUGGCAGCAGGCCAGGUGGUGUCAAGGUAAUCAAGGAGGUCCAUGGCGGUGAACUCGUCGACCCAAAUGCCAUAAUUGUUAGGCCAGAUGAUCUGUGAAGAAGGGUCGAUGCAGUAGACCGAGAGGCCUUGUUCGGAGACCAGCUGCACCAUCGUGAGGUUGGGGGGCCGCUGCCAACAAUGGUGAGGUCGAGGGUCUUGCCCAUGGAGUGGUCAUAUCGAGGGAGCUCGAAGUCCAUCUACACCAAAUAUGGAAAAUGAGGGUUAGAAUAAUCUUUUGUUGCUGGGCGAUAUGCAUGGAAAAUCAACUUCUCCGACUCUAGAUUUAUAUCAGAUAAUUCGAGUGUAAGGUUGAUCGAAAUGAUCCACCAUUAUUUGAUUUCCUUCAAUCUGAAACGAAGAAAGGAAAAAUUCUCUACAUUUCACAUAACUAUCUAAAUUCUACGCAAAACAGAUUGUUUUAGUGAUUGAAUGUUUUCAGAAUACUCGAGCCAUGAUCAGAAGUCCACGAUCACUAGGGUCAUCAUUCUUUCUAAGAAAAGGAACUGCCAAAAAAAAAAAGGGCAAGAUUUCAGAGAUGGGAUUGGAAAAUUUUCCUAGAAAUCAUGAGCCGGUCGAUCAAUCAAGGAGCCAAAAAAGAAAAUGCCAGAAGAAAGGAAGGUUCCCGAAGAUAUAGAGCACAAAGAAAUCCCAACCUUCAGGUCCUCCUCGCUCCUCAACUGGAGCCCCACCUAGCCAGCAGCGCGACUCCUCAUACAAAGAAGAAGAAGAAGAAGAAGAAGAAGGACGGAAGGGUCAAAGAGAGAGAGAGAGAUGGAUACGUCAUGAAGAUCAAGGCAAAUAUAGCAAUAAGUCAGCAAAGUGAUGGGAGUCAUAUGUGAGCGACACCUUAGUCCUACAGGAUACACAUCACCCAUCAAUCAUCGACCAACAGUAACGUGCCCAGCAAUAGCCAUCUCCUAGGACAUUGACCCUCAUCAAUAGGUCAGAAAAUGGUCGCCCGUGAGCCUGUAACACGUCGCAACGACUAUUUUAGCCCGACCUGUGGAUAUAAAUCCUCUCGCUCUUGCUGUAAUAAUUUUUUGAGGAAAAUUAUCAUGCUACGUUGCUUCUAUCCUUCUUAUCUUCUUUGGCCUCUUUCUUCUUCUCCAUCUCUUUUCUCCCAUCAUAGCAAGUUACCUCCCACUCUCACAUGAUAUUAGAGCCGCUAGCUAACGGCACUCACGAUCGAUGGCAAACACUUCAAAGAGUCACAUAAUCAUAGUCACAAUCUAGACAGUACCAACCCAUUCAUGACAGGUACGUUGAUCUCUUUGAAGGUGACUAAGGACAAUUUCUUGUUAUGGCAGAUGUAGCUUCUCCCUUUGUUGAGUAGUUGUGGUCUUGACCACCUCAUAGAAGAAGAAGGCAUCGUCGAUGAAAACCGAACACUCACUCCAAACCCAGCCUAUCAAGUGUGGAGAAGAUGCAAUCAAUCAGUGCUUGCACUCAUAGCCUCUUCUCUGUCAGAAUCUGUUAUUGUGUGUGUCAUCGACAAGAAGACGUCGAAGGAAACUUGGGAGGUGAUAAAAAGGAACUAUUCAUCCAAAAGCAAAUCACAAAUCAUGGAGCUGCAUAACUCGCUCUAUAAUAUUACAAAUGGUGUAAUGUCAAUGGACGAAUAUAUGAAGGAAAUUUGCACUAUAAAUGAGGAGCUCUCAACUGUAAGACAUGUAAUCGAUGAGUUUGCUUUCACCUUUGUCUUCAUGCGAGGACUUCCGCCAGAGUACACACCCUUCAUCACUAGACUAAUUGUAAGACCUGAAGAUCUAAGCCUUGAGGACACCAUCACUCAAAUUAGAGUUCACGAAACAAUGAUGGCAUUCAAACAGAAGGCACAAAACCACUCCUACUUCUCUUUGGAGGCAAAUCAGGUCACUAGACAAGACAAACCCCACGAGCAACAAGCCGGUAGGACCAGUUGAGGCAAAGGAUGCAGUAAAGGGAGAUACACUCCUCGAUGUCAACUAUGCGGACAAAUGAGAUAUAUAGUUUAUAAAUGCUGUGAACGUUUCAACUUGAAUUUUCAAAAUUGGUAAGGCAACAACAACUCUCUGCCCACUUGGCAAAUAGCAAAUCAGUCACCCCUUCCACAGGUGUACUAUCUCAAUGCCUCAAGUUAAGUGGAAAUACCAUCUAUAUCAACCUGGAAUCUCGAUGGUGGCGCUACCCACCAUAUCAUACUUGACGUCACCAUUUUACAACACUCAACUCCAUACUCCGGCCCUGAUCAACUUCACUUAGGUAAUGGCCAAGGUAUGUCUAUCAUUGCCUUUGGCUAUUCUUCUGUAAGUACAAAUCAACGACCACUUCUUCUCCGCAAUAUAUUCCAUAUUCCACGAAUCACAAAAAAUUUACUCUUCGUUUAAAAACUAACUUUUAAAAACAAUGUUGCCUUUGAAUUUCUCCCUUACUCUUGUCUACUAAAGGAUCAGAUAACGAAGGAGGUACUCCUCCGUGGCACAGUUAAAGAUAGACUAUAUCGGCUAGAAUUCUUACGACGGCUACCUCACGCGAUGGUCGGGGAACGCAUAUCUCUACAAACCUGGCACCAACGACUCAAACAUCCCCAUCUCUGCAUUCUAUAAAACAUUAUUGCCAAAUUUGGUCUCCCUAUACUUCAUCAAACUCGUUCCUUUUUAUAUGAUUCAUGUUGCAUGUCAAAAAUACACAAACAAUCAUUCUCUCACGCAUCCCACAACACAUCUCGACUACUCAAGAUUGUCUACUUUGAUAUUUGGGGCCCAAUUCCCAUCAUUUCUCAUUUUAGCUUUCACUACUAUGUCGUGUUUAUUGAUGAUUACAGUAAAUAUACUUGGUUGUUUCCUAUGAAGUAGAAGAGUGAUCUCCUCCCAAUUUUUCAGAGGUUUCAUGCUCAAGUCGAAUGACAGUUCAACAUGAAGCUUCACACCUUCUACUCUGAUGGAGGUAAAUUUUAAUUGCUCUAUCAUCAUUUUCAACAAGCCGGCAUCACCCAUCAAAUCUCCUACCCACACACCCCAAGCAAAAUGGUAUAGCCGAGCACAAACACCAACACUUAAUUGAGACUGCGCUCAUCUUGCUUCAUCAAGCUCAUCUUCUACAAAUCUUCUGGGAUGAAGCCAUGGUGACUAUAGCAUACCUUAUCAAUCAGAUGAACACCCCCCUCAUCUGCAUGUGCUCACCAUACAAAGUCAUCUUUAAAUUUUUACCCCUCUUGACUACUCAUUUCUUCUCACCUUCGGUUGUUUUACCCCAAUCUUUACUCGUAUGUCACCAACAAACUCACCUCUCAUUCCAAGCAUUGUGUUUUCUUAGGAUACAGCUCCCAGCCUUGGGGUACCAAUGCCUCUUGCUGUAAAUAUGAAGGUUAUUUAUAUCCCAUGAUGUACUCUUUAAUGAACUCAACUUCCCCUAUACUAGUCAUUUCAACCCCCUUCCCCCCCCCCCCUCCCUCUCCCUCCUCCUCCUCCUCCAUGGGAAUUCUCAACUCUAUACCUCUUUCCAUCAUCCCUCAUUUGGUGCCUUCUCCCCCUUAAGUGGCCAUCCUUGUGCAUUCAGAGCUCUUGGCCCCCAUCUCUCCUACACCAGCUACUACUCUCACAUUGUCAGCCGCUUCACCUUACUGUCCACCCAAGUUUCACUCGCUUCAACAAAUCUAUCAAGCCAUCACCCCUCAGCCCCCGAGUGCCCUCACUAUGGUCUCACCAGUUUUCAAAGGUAUGCAUCCUUAUUCUACCUCUUCUUCUCACUACCCAUUACCCUCGUGCUCUGUUGCAACCAUAUCCCUCCCUACCUAACCACAUUCCCUCACCGAUGCCCUUCGUCAUCCACAUUAGCAUCAUGCUAUGGCUCAAGAGUUUGGUCCCUUGCUUCACAAUCGAACCUGGCUUCUGGUUCCUCUUCACCCGCAUAUGCAUGUCAUCAGCUGAAAGUGGGUGUAUGACCUCAAAACCAAUCUUGACGGUACCAUUGAUCACUACAAAGCUUGCCUUGUCACCUAAGGCAUUGGUCAGCAGGUUGGGUUCGACAACUUCGAAACCUUCAGCCCCAUCAUCAAGAUCACCACAGUUCGCAUCCUCCUUGCCCUCGUCAUCAGCUGCAAUUAGUAUAUUCAUCAACUUCAUAUUUCAAAUGCUUUUCUCCAUGAUGAUCUAGCCGAAACCAUUCACAUGAAACAACCUCCAGGGUUUGUUGAUCUUCUACAACCCCAUCAUGUUUGCCUCCUUCGAAAAUCAUUAUAUGAUUUGAAACAAUCUCCCCGCAAAUGAUUUAAGAAGCACUCUUCCCACCUUCGCUCGCUCAAUUUUCUAGCCUCUAAGACCAAUGUCUCCCUUUUCUUCUAUCACAAAUCUUCUUCUCCUAUUUUUCUCCUGAUUUAUGUCAACAACAUCCUCAUUCUCAGCCCUAAUCUUCUAGGCAUUCUCACUAUUAUUCACUCCCUCUAGUCAGCCUUCCCUCUUCGUGACCUUGGACCUGCCCGGCACUUCCUAGGUCUCAAGCUCACCCCACACUCUUCCAAUUGUCUAGUCUUGCAGUCUCACUACACUGCUAAACUCCUCACCAAAGGUCGCAUGUAGGACUCUAAACCCAUUGCCACCCCUUGCUCUAUCUCCUCCUCUAUCUCUCUCUCUUCCACACUCUCGACACCUUCAUUGUACCGCAAUCUUGUUGGCGGCCGUCAGUACCUCACCCUCACUCGCCCUAACGUCACCUUCAUGAUCAACUAAGCCUGCCAAUCCAUGCAUGACCCGAGCCCAAUUGCAUGGGCUCAGCUCAAACAUUUGCUUAGAUAUCUUAAAGGUACCCUUACUCACAGCCUCCUCAUUCAUUAAAAACUCUGAUCUCUCCCUUCAUGCAUUUAGCGAUGUUGACUGGGCCAAUUCACCCCUCAAUCGUUGUUCCACCUGUGCCUAUCUCAUCUAUUUUGGUUUUACCUUAGUCUCUUGGAGCUCUAAGAAGUAGCCCACCGUCACUCGCUCCAGCACUGAAGCAGAGUAUAAAGCCCUCGUGAAUGCCAUCGCAAAGCUCCUCUAGCUUCAAUCUCUCCUCCACAAGCUUCACAUUCCCUUGACCGCUGCUCCAACGAAUCACUAUGAUAAUCUCAGUGCUACCUAUCUCGUGGCCAACCCCAUCUUUCAUGCCUGCACCAAACACAUUGAAAUCGAUUUUCACUUUGUUUGUGAACAAGUUGCCACUCGACGCUUACAAGUGGCCUUCAUCUCCAGCAAAGACUAGCCCACGGACAUACUCACAAGCCUCUUCCUAAGCCCCGCUUUCUCUGGUUGCGCAUCAAGCUCUACGUGCUGCCUCCGUCGUCCUCCAUCAACCCUCAACUUGUGGGGGAGUGUGAGCAACACCUCAGCCCUACAAGACGCAUGUUACCCAUCAAUCAUCAAUUAAUAGUAAUGUGCCCAGCAACAGCUAUCUCUCGGGACACCAACCCUCAUCAAUGAUCAGAAAAUGGUCGCCCAUUAGCCCAUAACACAUUGCAACGGCUAUUUCCAGCCCGACCUGUGUAUAUAAAUCCUCCCGCUCCGAUUGUAAUAAUUUUUUGAGGAAAAUUAUCGUGCUAUACUACUUAUAUCUUUCUUAUCUUUUCUGGCCUCUUUCUUCUUCUCCUUCUAUUCUCUCCAUCGCAGAAAGCGACCUCCCGCUCUCACAUCAAAAAGUCGGGGCCCACUUAUUGCUGUCCAUUUUAAAGAUAUCCGUUGACUAAAUUCUCCUGUCAACGAUUGAUUGCGGCUGAUGCGCCGAAUGGGAGCGAUUAACGGGCCACGUAGAAUCCGGAGAUCUUCUCCCAUCUUAUCUUAUUACAAGCUCGAAUCUUGGAGUACUAGGUGA
rnacentral:lncRNA from 1 species